GAUGGGCAUCAGGGUUGAGGGAUGGGGUGGGGGAUGUGGGGUGGGGGUUGGAAUGACAAUGAAGAGGGGGUUGGGUCACGGGAGUGAGCAUUGGAGUGGGGGUUGGGUCACGGGAGUGGGGUCUUAGGGACCCUCAGCCCUCCUUGAGAAUCCUGAGCAUGAUGUCUGGCAGAGCCUGGACGCUGCCCUCUCCUAAGCAGCCCUUCCCUGAUCACACGAGCUCUGACUUCAGAGUCCCCAGUGGUUUAAGCAGCAAGGGGGCUGGGGGUGGCCCAGCCUGAGAAGUCCACCACCAGAUGGUCCAGGACUGGCAUGAAGGGAUUAUUUGGGGUCCUCUAUCUGGGGUAAGUGGGUCCUCAGUCCUCCCUCAGCAUGUCACCUUGCCUCCUUACAGAGCCUGGGCCCGCUUCCCUCCACCGAUCUCAAGCCGCCCCUCAGACCGAAAACCUCGCUUCUCUCUAACCACUAAUGCUCAAGUCAGUGGCGUCACAUCUGGGCACCUGGGCUUCCCUGGGUUGAGAGCAGGGGUGGAACCGGAUUCUGCCUGGCUUGGGCUGGGGGGUUGAUUUGUGAAGCAGAGAACAGCAGCCCAAAUUUGAUUGUCACGUUGGCAGCCACAGGUAAGACAUAAUUUGUACAUAAUUGUACAUAAUUGAAGCACAUUUGACAUUUUUACAGUGUUCUCUUUCUCAUCAAUGAAUAUGCUAUGCUCCUCUAUAAUAUGUGUGUGUGAGUGUGUGUAUAUAUAUAUAUAUAUAUAUAGAGAGAGAGAGAGAGAGAGAGAAAGAUGGCAUCUCCCUCUGUCUACCAGGCUGGAGUGCAGUGGCACUAUCUCGGCUCACUGUAAUCUCCACCUCCCAAGUUCAAGUGAUUCUCCUACCUUAGCCUACUGAGUAGCUGGGAUUACAGGUGCAUGGCACCAUACCCAGCUAAUUUUUGUAUUUUUAGUAGAGAUGGGGUUUCAACAUAUUGGCCAGGUGUGUCUGGAACUCCUGACCUCAGGUGAUCUGCCCGCCUCAGCCUCCCAAAAUACUGGGAUUACAGGCAUGAGCCAUCGCACCCAGCCUCAUGUAUUAAUUUCAAACUCCUUUUACUUGAAUCUGUCAGUAUACUGUGAUUGUUGCCUCUAUAAAGACCUUCUGCAUUUUUACUAGGCUUCUUUUCAGGUAAUUCUUGGAUUUUGAUGCUAUUGAAAAAGGCAUAUUGUAUAUUAAGUGUUCUAGUUACUGAUUGCUUUCAUCUGGCAAAGAUUUUGAUUUUGCUAUUAUAAUCUGUUGUAUACCUCAUUCUGAAGGCCCAUUCACUUGAAUCUUCCACAUGCCUACUCCUUUGAAUUUUCAAGACUGAUCAUGUUAUCACUAAACAUUAUAUAUUUUUUCCACUAUUCAUACUCCUUAUUUAUGUUGAUAUUUAUAGCUCUGACUUUGUGUCUCAAUACUGAUUUAAAAGCUGGAGAUAAUACCUUACAUCUAAUUAUUUUUCCUCUCUUUAAUAAUAAGUCCUCGAACAUUUAGCAUUUAUGUAUGUUUGCUGUUGAUUUUAGUAAAUGGAAAUUCUCUUUCAAAAGAAGUUAACUAAAUAUGUUUACUUUGAACUCAUAUUGAAUUUCCUUCAAAAGCUUUUCCUAUACCCAGUGAUAUGAGCACUUAUCUUUUUCUUCUCCAUUUUGUAUGUAAGGAAUUACAAUGAAAUACGUUUCUUUUUUGUAACAAUAAAUCAUAUUUUCUUUCCUUGGGCA
rnacentral:lncRNA from 1 species